rnacentral:rRNA from 1 species
AUUGAACGCUGGCGGCAGGCCUAACACAUGCAAGUCGAGCGGAUGACGGGAGCUUGCUCCUUGAUUCAGCGGCGGACGGGUGAGUAAUGCCUAGGAAUCUGCCUGGUAGUGGGGGACAACGUUUCGAAAGGAACGCUAAUACCGCAUACGUCCUACGGGAGAAAGCAGGGGACCUUCGGGCCUUGCGCUAUCAGAUGAGCCUAGGUCGGAUUAGCUAGUAGGUGAGGUAAUGGCUCACCUAGGCGACGAUCCGUAACUGGUCUGAGAGGAUGAUCAGUCACACUGGAACUGAGACACGGUCCAGACUCCUCCGGGAGGCAGCAGUGGGGAAUAGUGGUCAAUGGGCGAAAGCCUGAUCCAGCCAUGCCGCGUGUGUGAAGAAGGUCUUCGGAUUGUAAAGCACUUUAAGUUGGGAGGAAGGGCAGUAAGCUAAUACCUUGCUGUUUUGACGUUACCGACAGAAUAAGCACCGGCUAACUCUGUGCCAGCCGCCGCGGUAACAC